UAUCAAACCUUAAUCCAAGCUGCCACCAAACCCCACCGCCUGAGGGUGGUGGCGGCCCCUCCAACCACUCCAAAAUUAACGUCACAACUACCUCUCAUUUCCCUCAUCACUAAUCCCCCACCAUAUUCCCUCGAAUCAAACCUAGAAGCUUCGAAUAUAUGUUUGAAACUCUGGUCUCAAAACAUAAACUUGUCUAAAUGAGCCCAAAUUGAUAUUAGACAGUCUCCUCAACCUCCUCUUCUUAAAUAUGAGGUUAUUUUCCUUCGACUCUCACCAGGCCGCCCUCAAUUCCACAUCUAGGGUUUUCGACUUUUAUGCUUGUUUGAAGUUUUUGGUUCUGAAGAUUUUAGUUAAUGUUAUACGUUUGUUUUGGACAAAACUAACCUAUAACAUUAAUUAGAAUUCAACUCCAUAAAUCGAAUAAAUUUUAAGAGCCAUUCAGUAAGUCACUUUCUCAUUUUUAGUUUCAAUUUAGUUCGCUUCUUGUUCUAUCUUCUAAUUAAGCGUAAUCUUUAGUUUCCGAAUAUUUUAGUUAGUAAAUUGGUUGCAAGUAAUUUUUUCAGUUAGAUUAUUAGUAAAGUAUUGGGUAUAAUAUUAGAUUACGCUUGUUUCUGAUUAAUUCAUAGUUUAAUUUUCAUUUUUGUCUAGUUUGUUUGAUUUUUGUCUUGUUUAAAUUCUAGUUGGUCAGUUAUCAGUAUAAUCGUUAGGAGUUAAUUUAGGUUUAUUUAGCUUAGUUGAUUAGUUUCAGUAGAAUAACCUUGUUGAAAACUGUUGAGUCUUGUUAAAUUUGCAGUCAGAUAUUGUUUUCAACUUCAUAUUAUUUUACCUUGAUUCUGUGAUAGUUAAUUCAAUUGUUAGGAUAAUUAAUUUUCAGUUUAGUUAAUAUCAGUUGGGACUGAUUUUGGUUACAGUUGAAUUGGUUUUUGUUGGGUAGUAAUUUCAGGGGGGGGGGGGUUCAAGGGUAGUUUAGGGAUGGAAAAUGGUAGUUUCUUUAGGAAUAGUAAAUUCAAGGUAGGGUUAAGGGUAGUAUAGUAUUUCUUAGGCUAAAAGAGCACCCUAGAGCCUUCUAGAAGGGUGUCUUAGUGUAGGUUUCAGCAAAUUAGAGGGACUUGCUUAUUUAGCAAGUCAAAAAUAGAGGGACUAAAAAGAAAACCCUAAAAUCUGAUUUACUCUCUUUAGGUUUGCCUAUAACUAGUGAGUCAUUUGCUUUGUGAAGAGGAUCUUCAACCUUUCAGCGUAAAAUAUCCCCAUAAGAGCUCUUUUUCUUUCUCUCCAGAAGUCAUAUUAGUAAUUCCAAUACAAAAAAAGAGGCAAAAUAAAUUAGAAAACAAAUAGAAGAAAAUCAUUGUUUUAUUGAAUGAACAUGGAUUGAUUCUGGUUGCUAGUGAAUUUCUUUACAUUUUCGUUUUAACUGAGUUGGGUUUCUGGUGGUUUGGUUUAGUGUAUUUUCAGACCACUCGGGUGCAAAUUGAUUUAGUUUUGGUUGGUUUUUUCACAUUUGCAUUUGCGUAUUGUGUGUUGCUGGGUUCAAUUGACAAUAGUCUAAGGUUGUUUGUUACUCAUUCCUGUUGUUGCUGUGAUAACA
rnacentral:lncRNA from 1 species